rnacentral:rRNA from 1 species
UAUGUUCUUGAAACUUAAAAAAUUUGGCGGUAUUUUAGUCUAUCCAGAGGAACCUGUUUUGUAAUCGAUAAUCCACGAUGGACCUUACUUAAAUUUGUAAUCAGUUUAUAUACCGUCGUUAUCAGAAUAUUUUAUAAGAAUAAUAAUAUUCAAUAAUUUUUAUUAAAAUUUAUAUCAGAUCAAGGUGUAGCUUAUAUUUAAGUAAUAAUGGGUUACAAUAAAUAUAUUUAAAUGGAUAAAAUUAUGAAAAAGUUUUUGAAAGUGGAUUUGGUAGUAAAAUUAUAAAGAUUAAUAAUUUGAUUUUAGCUCUAAAAUAUGUACACAUCGCCCGUCGCUCUUAUUAUUAAGGUAAGAUAAGUCGUAACAUAGUAGAUGUACUGGAAAGUGUAUCUAGAAUGA